AGGCUUGUGGGUCUGAAUGCAGCAGUGAGGCCACAGCAAUGCCCAUCCCUGGGCUGUUGCCUCCAAUCUUCCUUUCACAGAAGACCUGUCUAAGUGUCUGAGGAACAGCCUCACCAGUGCACUAAGCUGUGUUUCCCUGCUGGGCCAUGCUAUCCACAGAUUUAUUUCACUAAGGCGGUCACAACACAAAGUACUAUACCUACAAGCAGAAGUAUUUGCUGUAAAUUGGAUGAAGAAAUCCCCAAAGGACAGGGAGUGGUUCUUUUCCUGAUUUGUGUGUACAGAAGAAGGAAAAGCUUAGAGAAAAAAGACAUUGACGUGGAGGAGUUUAAACUGAGAAGUAAACAUAAAGGUGUGGAUUGAAUCUCUGGUUCAGGAUGUGCCUGGUCUACAGGCUGCCAAAGCCUGGUUUUCCCUCUGCAACACUAUCCAUAGCCAGAGGCACCGAGCAGCAGGCAACUGGGAGCUUUAAUUUCCAAGUUUUCUCUCAGUGAAGACCAGCAGCUGAUAGCAGUACUGACACUGGUGGUGGGAUUCUGGUAUUUCACCAGCACAGCUCAAGUGAACCAGUCUGCUAUGAAACCUUCCCAUGGAAAGGCUCUGCAAGUCAGGCUUCCCUCCAGAGGUCACCAGAAAGCCAUGGCUCAGACUGCCAACCAACAACCAAAUUUCAUGGACACAAUAUAGAGGAAAGAGAUUAGGCAAAAAAAAAAAAAUUUAA